rnacentral:tRNA from 1 species
GGCGCUAUGGUGUAGUGGCAGCACAUGGGAUUCUGAUGACACGUGGGUGGAGGCAUUCCCAUAACCCAGGUUCGAACCCUGGUAGUGCCU